GACGAACGCUGGCGGCGCGCUUAACACAUGCAAGUCGAGCGAAGCGGCGGACGGGUGAGUAACUCGUUAGUAACCUGCCUUAGACAUUGGGAUAGCCUCGGGAAACCGGGAUUCAUACCAAAUGGUCUAAGAUGGACUCGCGUCCCAUUAGCUAGUUGGUGAGGUAACGGCCCACCAAGGAGACGAUGGAUAGCCGGCCUGAGAGGGUGAACGGCCACAUUGGAACUGAGAAACGGUCCAAACUCUACGGGAGGCAGCAGGGGGGAAUAUUGCACAAUGGAGGGAACUCGGAUGCAGCGACGCCGCGUGAACGAAGAAGGAUUUCGAGUCGUAAAGUUCUUUUAUAUGGGAAGCGGUACCAUAAGAAAAAGCCCCGGCUAACUACGUGCCAGCAGCCGCGGUAAUAC
rnacentral:rRNA from 1 species